GAUUCCCUCAGUAACGGCGAGUGAACGGGGAUGAGCCCAGCGCUAAAUCUCGUCGCUCUAACGGGUGCCGAGAGGUGUAGCGUAUAGUAGGUGAUUUUCCUUGUGGGCCGUCGACUUAAAUUCUCCUUGACUGGGGUUCCGUAGAAGGUGAAAGGCCUGUUCAGUCGAUGGCCCGCGUGGAUUCCGCACUACUCGGAGUCGGGUUGUUUGGGAACGCAGCCCAAAUUUGGUGGUAAACUUCAUCUAAGGCUAAAUACGGCCACGAAACCGAUAGCAAACAAGUACCGUGAGGGAAAGUUGAAAAGUACUUUGAAGAGAGAGUUCAAGAGGACGUGAAACCGGUAGGAUGGAAACGGAUAGAGCCAACGAACAAGCCCGUAUUCAGCUAGUCGGCUGCGCCCUGCGUGCGGUCGGCUAGUGCAUUUGCGGGUGAUGUGUGCUGAGGCGUGUGGUGRUGCCCUGCAAACUGCGCGGAGAGGCCUCGUCUUCACGGNCUUGGAACCUACGCGUUGGAAGAAGGGUCGUUGCUGCACGUCCUAUAUGGACUAGGUGAAUUCGCGCUGUUGGGUCGUCAGGCUAGCUGCUUGGUCGGUCGCAUGCGACUAGGCCUCGUUGGUUGGUCUUGGCGGCACGCCAGUGCCCUGGUCGCGCCUCGGUGUAAAAGUUGGUUAUCUCUCCGACCCGUCUUGAAACACGGACCAAGGAGUCUAGCGUAUGCGCGAGUCAUUGAGUGGAAAACUCAUAGGCGCAAUGAAAGUGAAGGUCUCCUCGCGGGACUCAUAUGCGAUCUGUUGUGUUGCGGCACGGCAGAGCAGCAUAGCCCCGUCUCGACUGCUUGCAGUGGGGCGGCGGAUGAGCGUGUGCGCUGGUACCCGAAAGAUGGUGAACUAUGCCUGAGCAGGAUGAAGCCAGGGGAAACCCUGGUGGAGGUCCGAAGCGCUUCUGACGUGCAAAUCGAUCGUCUGACUUGGGUAUAGGGGCGAAAGAC
rnacentral:rRNA from 1 species